AUAUUCUGGGCUUUUUUAUAAAAUGACCUUCUAAAAACUCAAAAUUGGCAAAAUGAUCCUGCCAAAAUUUUAUUUGUAAAACUAACCUUUUAUUCGCCACGUGGGCGUCAUGUCAAGAUUCCUCAUAAAGACGGUGAAUCGUUUACUGUCUUUGUAAUAUUUGUUGUGAAGACGGUAAAUAAUUCACCGCUUUCAAAAGGCGGUUAACCAUCCACCGCCUUUAGUGCAAAAUCCCCCUUUCCACCCUUUCAAUUUCGCCGUUUCUGUGCCUUCGAAAAGACGGGGAACGAUUCACCGUCUUCUCCCGCCUAAUGAAGACGGUGAACGAUUCACCGUCUUAUCAAGAACACCAUACCCUGGACUUGGAAAGAUUUGCGCAUCAGUAUAAGGAUUCACCGCCUUCACCAUUCACCGCCUUCACAACAAAUACAACAAAUACGGUGAACGAUUCACCGUCUUUUUAAGAAGUCCCUGACGUGGCGUCAACGUGGCAAAAUGAGGGUUAGUUUUACAAAUAAAAUUUUGGUAGGAUUAUUCUGCCAAAUUCAAAUUUCUUGAGGGUCAUUUUAUAAAAAAGCCCUAUAUUCUCUUGAAUAGAAAUAUUAAAAAUAUUAUUCUCUUAAAUUUUUAAAGAAUAAAUUUAGAUGUGAAAGAAAAUAUUAAAUAUAAAUAUUAAAAAUAUUAUUCUCUGACAAUUUUAAUUUUUAUCGAAUAAUUUUAUAUGUUUUAAUAAAAAAUUAUUAGAUAUAAUCUAGUGGUGGAACACAACAUCAAGUUACCGCCCAGAAGAAAUACAAAUAUUAACUCGAAUAUAUAUAUUUUUUCUUUCUUUUUUUGAAAGAUAAAUAGCACGCUAUCCGCUUCGUUUAUUUCAUUUAGAAAUAAAUUUAGCUAAAAAUAUAGAAUCAACUAGAAUU
rnacentral:lncRNA from 1 species